GACGAACGCUGGCGGCGUGCCUAAUAAAUGCAAGUAGAACGCAGUUGCGCACGGGUGAGUAACGCGUAGGUAACUGCCUCAUAGAGGGGGCUAACUAUUGGAAACGAUAGCUAAUAACGCACACUGUGAGAUGGACCUGCGUUGUAUUAGCUAGUUGGUGAGGAAAAGGAUCACAAAGGCGACGAUACAUAGCCGACCUGAGAGGGGGUGCGGCCACACUGGGACUGAGACACGGCCCAGACUCCUACGGGAGGCAGCAGUAGGGAAUCUUCGGCAAUGGACGGAAGUCUGACCGAGCAACGCCGCGUGAGGGAAGAAGGUUUUCGGAUCGUAAAACUCUGUUGUUAGAGAAGCGGUAUCUAACCAGAAAGCCACGGCUAACUACGUGCCAGCAGCCGCGGUAAUUC
rnacentral:rRNA from 1 species